CGCGAGGUGGAGCAGCCAGGUAGCUCGUCGGGCUCAUAACCCGAAGGUCAGAGGUUCGAAUCCUCUCCUCGCUACCA
rnacentral:tRNA from 1 species